rnacentral:rRNA from 1 species
GACGAACGCUGGCGGCGUGCUUAACACAUGCAAGUCGAGCGGUAAGGCCCUUUCGGGGGUACACGAGCGGCGAACGGGUGAGUAACACGUGGGUGACCUGCCCUCAGCUCUGGGAUAAGCCUGGGAAACUGGGUCUAAUACUGGAUAUGACUCCACGGUGCAUGUCGUGGGGUGGAAAGCCUUGUGCGGCUGAGGAUGGGCCCGCGGCCUAUCAGCUUGUUGGUGGGGUGANGGCCUACCAAGGCGACGACGGGUAGCCGGCCUGAGAGGGCGACCGGCCACACUGGGACUGAGACACGGCCCAGACUCCUACGGGAGGCAGCAGUGGGGAAUCUUGCGCAAUGGGCGAAAGCCUGACGCAGCGACGCCGCGUGAGGGAUGACGGCCUCGGUGUAACUACUUCUAC